GUGAUGAUGGUUUUCCAACAUUCGCAGUUUCCACCAGAAAGGUUUUCCUUAGUGUUGGGUAAACCUUCCUUGGAUGUCUGAGUGAGCUUUAUGUGCAUUCUCACGUUGGUUUCUGUGAUGUAUAAAAGUAUACCCCCAUCUUACAGAUAGGAAACUAUGCCCUGAUUUCUGAGCCUUGACAUCAUCACAUUCUCCAGUUUG
rnacentral:lncRNA from 10 species